AUGCUCUUCCAGUUCCUCUGCUUGAAGAACAUCCGCACCUUCCUGAAAGUCUGCCAUGACAAGUUUGGGCUCAGGAACAGCGAUCUGUUCGACCCCUUUGACCUCUUCGAUGUCCGAGACUUCGGGAAGGUCAUCUCCGCCGUGUCAAGACUCUCCCUGCACAGCUUGGCUCAGAACAAAGGCAUCAGGCCCUUCCCCUCGGAGGAGACCACGGAGAAUGACGAGGACGUGUACCGCAGCCUGGAGGAGCUGGCAGAUGAGCACGGCGUGGGAGAGGACAUCUAUGACUGCGUCCCGUGCGAGGAUGACGGGGACGACAUCUAUGAGGACAUCAUCAAGGUGGAGGUGCAGCAGCCCAUGAAAAUGGGCAUGACAGAGGAUGACAAGAGAAACUGCUGCCUGCUGGAGAUCCAGGAGACGGAGGCCAAGUACUACCGGACGCUGGAGGACAUCGAGAAGAACUACGUGACGCCCCUGAGGCUGGUGCUCAGCCCGGUGGACAUGGCGGCCAUCUUCAUCAACCUGGAGGACCUGAUUAAGGUGCAUCACAGCUUCCUGAGGGCCAUCGACGUGUCCAUGAUGGCGGGCGGCAGCUCGCUGGCCAAGGUCUUCCUGGACUUCAAGGAGAGGCUCCUAAUCUAUGGGGAGUAUUGCAGUCACAUGGAGCACGCCCAGAACACACUGAACCAGCUCCUGGCCAGCAGGGAGGACUUCAGACAGAAAGUCGAGGAAUGCACCCUGAAGGUCCAGGACGGGAAGUUCAAGCUGCAGGACCUGCUGGUGGUCCCCAUGCAGAGGGUACUCAAAUACCACCUGCUCCUCAAGGAACUUCUGAGCCAUUCCACCGACCGGCCGGAGAGGCAGCAGCUCAAAGAAGCGCUGGAGGCCAUGCAGGACUUGGCCAUGUACAUAAACGAAGUUAAACGGGACAAAGAGACCCUGAAGAAAAUCAGCGAAUUUCAGAGCUCUAUAGAAAACUUGCAAGUGAAACUGGAGGAAUUCGGGAGACCGAAGAUCGACGGGGAGCUGAAGGUCCGGUCCAUAGUCAACCACACCAAGCAAGACAGGUACCUGUUCCUGUUUGACAAGGUGGUCAUCGUCUGCAAGAGGAGGGGCUACAGCUACGAGCUGAAGGAGAUCAUAGAGCUGCUCUUCCACAAGAUGACCGACGACCCCAUGAACAACAAGGACGUCAAGAAGUGGUCCUACGGCUUCUAUCUCAUUCACCUACAAGGCAAGCAAGGCUUCCAGUUUUUCUGCAAGACAGAGGACAUGAAGAGGAAGUGGAUGGAGCAGUUUGAGAUGGCCAUGUCAAACAUCAAGCCCGACAAGGCCAACGCCAACCACCACAGCUUCCAGAUGUACACGUUCGACAAGACCACCAACUGCAAAGCCUGCCGCAUGUUCCUCAGGGGUACUUUCUACCAGGGUUACCUCUGCACCAAGUGUGGCGUCGGGGCGCACAAGGAGUGUCUGGAAGUGACCCCUCCCUGCAAGAUCAGUUCUCCUGCAGACCCGGAUGCCUCUGGAGCGGGGCCAGGUCCCAAGAUGGUGGCCGUGCAGAAUUACCAUGGCAACCCCGCUCCCCCCACGAAGCCGGCGCUGACCUUCCAGACGGGCGAUGUGAUCGAGCUGCUGAGAGGCGACCCCGAGUCUCAGUGGUGGGAGGGUCGGCUGGUGCAGACCAGGAAGUCAGGCUACUUCCCCAGCUCGUCUGUGAAGCCCUGUCCUGUGGAUGGAAGGCCACCCAUCAGCCGGCCGCUGUCCCGGGAGAUGGACUACACGGCAUACCCCUGGUUUGCCGGAAAUAUGGAGAGGCAGCAGACCGACAACCUGCUCAAACCCCACGCCAGCGGGACCUACCUAAUCAGGGAGCGGCCGGCGGAGGCCGAGCGCUUUGCCAUAAGUAUCAAGUUCAACGACGAGGUGAAGCACAUUAAGGUGGUGGAGAAGGACAGCUGGGUCCACAUCACAGAAGCCAAGAAAUUUGAGAGCCUCUUGGAGCUGGUGGAGUACUACCAGUACCACUCGCUCAAGGAGAGCUUCAAGCAGCUGGACACCACACUCAAGUACCCGUACAAGGCCUGGGAACGCACAGCCUCCAGGGCCUCCAGCCGCUCCCCAGUGUUCACACCCCGUGUCAUCGGCACGGCCGUGGCCAGGUACAACUUCGCCGCCCGCGACCUGCGGGAGCUCUCGCUGCGGGAAGGUGACGUGGUGAAGAUAUACAGCCGCAUCGGCGGGGACCAGGGCUGGUGGAAGGGCGAGACCAGCGGCCGGGUCGGCUGGUUUCCUUCAACGUAUGUAGAAGAGGAGGGCGUCCAGUGACAGCAAGAUCACGGACAGGACUCGCGGAUUUUCUUGGAAGAGUUGCUCCAGCGAUGAAGUCUGUCUCUAGUUCUGCAACUCAGAGGGGAAAUGCCCGCCAACCUUCCAGUCUUCAACAGCCCGUGGGGAUGGGGAGGGGGUUCAGAACCUACAUGUGAUCUGUCCUGCCAUCAGUCUGCCCUUGGUGGCCUGUCCUGGGUACGCUGCUUGUACAUAGAGAAAAUCUGGGCCAGCCCUGGGUGCCAAGGAGAAGGAGUGCCCAUGGGUGGCAUCCUGAGCCAGGCUCUGGGUGACAGCUGAGGCCAGAGCACACCUUGCCCCUGUUUUGGUUUUUGUUAUUCUUUCCUGAUAGG
rnacentral:misc_RNA from 1 species